UGGGGAAUUUUGCACAAUGGGGGAAACCCUGAUGCAGCGACGCCGCGUGAUUUAGAAGGCCUUCGGGUUGUAAAAAUCUUUUCUAUGGGAAGAAAAUGACAGUACCAUAGGAAUAAGUACCGGCUAAUUACGUGCCAGCAGCCGCGGUAAUACGUAAGGUCCGAGCGUUGUCCGGAAUCAUUGGGCGUAAAGGGUACGUAGGCGGGUAAGCAAGUUAGAAGUGAAAUCCUAUAGCUCAACUAUAGUAAGCUUUUAAAACUGCUCAUCUUGAUGUAUGGAAGGGAAAGUGGAAUUCCUAGUGUAGCGGUGAAAUGCGCAGAUAGUAGGAGGAAUACCGGUGGCGAAGGCGACUUUCUGGCCAUAACCUGACGCUGAGGUACGAAAGCGUGCGUAGCAAACAGG
rnacentral:rRNA from 1 species